GUGCAUUACUCUAAAAAUUCCAGUUGAGUGUUCUGUAGUGGUGGGGUUUGCCCUUUCACCACUGAUUCUUGUAAUGGUAGAAGCCUUGGCUAGUAAAACAGCACUUAGACAUGACUUAACCACUAGACUGAGCUAUUAAAUUUUACAGAAGUGAUGGCUGGGGUAAGUUACAUUUAGAUAGAAUGCAUAGCAACACCUGUGACCAUAACUUUUGAUAUUUGUAAGUCUUAGGGCACAAUAAUCAAUGGAUAUAGGAUGGCUUGUGUACAUUCGGAGAAACGGAAAAAAACUUUGUAUGAUUGAAGAAUAUUCAAGUUUCGGACUGCAACUGUCCCAGAGCAGCUGCUGCUGCUCUCAGGGAAACAUCGAGCCUCAGGUUGACUUUCUUGCUUGUCCACUGGAAUUCACAAUCCCAUUCUCUGCUUGCUGAAAGUGCCCAACGUUUCCUUAUGCUGAUCCCAAAUCCUGCCUUUCUCCACACCAGCUGGUGACAGUGGCAGCAGGCACUGCACGCCGGGAUGUCACACUGCGGGGUGGCUGCUCUGCAAGGACCGCUCCGUGCUAAGGGCCCCUGUGAAAGCACUCGAUGUGGCACUUAAAACGUGUUCUGUGCCCCCAGUGGCAAACUGGGCUCUCUGCACAAAGGCAGACUGAGCUGGUUUUGCUAAAAGAACCGUGUCAGGCUGCCAGCUGUGCCCUUGUCCAGCCCCUGCUCCACUUGAAGUCUGGCUUCCAAAAACUCCACAGAACUAUUCAGACACAGAACUGUUGUGGUAAUAAGGAAUUAUUUAAACUGGAGGAUGUGAUUCCCAAAGUCAUCUUUCAACAUGGAAGCAACCUCUCAAACCCCCAACCCUGUGUAAAUAAGCAGUAAAUUAUGUAACCAUGCCAAAUGACAAUGUACAGUCAGUUUCAAAGUGCAAGACUGUGGUAUGUUGAUGGUGAUAGUGAGGGAACUUUCUUGGUCAAGAUCUUGCUGGUGGUGGCAUUACUAAUACUGUGCUUUUAAAUGUUUUAAUCCUUCUUACAGUAUUUUAAUGUGUGAUGGAAGGUUAAGUUGUUGAGCUAAUGCAUAUUAAACAACUCUUAUAUUUAAAAGGUUCAUUUAUUUUUCUGAGCAGAAACAAAUUUCAAGACUUCUUUAAUCCAUAAAUCCCUGAGAAUAGUAGUCCUUACUGUUAGGAGCCAGUUAGCAGUUUGAGAACUUUUAAAGAACAAAAACCAGAUUUAAGUCGACCUUCCCUGUGUUUGGCUCAUGGAUGAGUUACUGUCAGGACAUGGUUUGUGUGCAUUUAUAUUUCAGAUGGGCUUCUCAAUUCACUUUUACACAAGAUUUUCUUUCUGGAUUUCCUUUUUUAAGGCUCCAGUUAUAGCUAAGUCUGCAUAAAGAAUAUACUCAGAAUAUCCAGUUGUAUAAUUCUGGGAUGUCUUGAGCACCAGACUAAAUCAACAGCUCUGAUGAAACGCAAAACUGAAAAAGUUUUCUUUUCAAAACUGACAGACAUCUUGUCAGGAAAACUGCAACCUUGGUAGUGCAGUUGUUUUCAAUUUGGCAUUUUUGUCCUUGACUAAAAUUUUAAGAGUGAACUUAAAUAAAAAUGUAACAAGGAGUCUGUGUUAGGCCUCAGAUUCUCCCAUAAGCAGUGGUGAGUCUUGGUGUACAGCAGGAUGUGGGAUGAAUGGUACAUGGAAUUGUUACUGAUAGAAAGGUGCCUGUUGCCCUUCUGUCUCUGGUUAUUGGCAGUAUUUGGUUUUGUGUUUAGAUCUUACUAAACAGUCUUGUAAAAUGUAAUUGUUUCAUGAUUUGCUCCUCUUCUGGAGGAGUAACUGACCUGUUGCUGUGAUGUGUCUGCACUUCACAAAGCAAAGAGUCAGUUAUCUACAGUUUGUACUUUUUCUUAUAAUAAAUGACAUCUUCAUCCCCCAAGCAUUCCUGAAUCAUAGUAAAUUAAAAUGGUUUUGAGCUUGAGAAGUAUUUGUACUUAAAUUGUAUCAUUUGAAUCCAGAGAUUUUGCAAAUGGUGUGGUUCUGUUGUAAAUACCUAGUAAAAGGUGUGUGCAGUGCUGCAUUGACAGUGUGUUUACAGUAGUUGAUGAGUUUAAGUUACUUUGGUUUUUGUUAUGCAGGUCACAUGUUGUGUCUGAAGGCUGCUAAGAGUGGCAUUUUUGGUCACAUUAGUCUGUACUGAGAGAAUAAAUGUUAACAGAUGUGAUGCUGAGAAGUUUAGUUUCAUUGUCAUCAAUUUACAGAAGUACAUGGGGGGCUUGUGUGUGUAAAUAUUUAGAAUUCAGGAAUACCUCAAACAUGUACAUUGGAUUUUUUUUUUCCCUAAAACCAUUCACAAUUGUGCCAGUACACUGAAUAGUUAAGGUCAGUUGUUCAAAAACCUGAAACAGCAAAGCAAGAAGCCAAACAGAGGGUGGGGGUCUGGUAGAGUUUCAAAGCUGGAGGGUGCUUGUGCUCACAGUGAGUUGCAACACUUGGUUACAUCUGCUUGUAAAUGAGAAAUAUUUAGGGAACCAUAGUUUCUCAAGUGUCAUUUAACAUUUCUUUUCAAAGUGUAGAAGAAUAUUUAAGUAGUCUUGCAGGAUAAAGACUUAAUACAUUAUAGACUGUAAAUCUUCUUUGUAAAAACUUCGGUUUUUUUGCUUGUAUAGAAUACAAAUCUCAGUUGUGAAACCCAAAGAUGAAUAAAGCUCUAUAAAGGGAA